GUAGUCAUAUGCUUGUCUCAAAGAUUAAGCCAUGCGUGUCUAAGUAUAAGCAAUCUAUACUGUGAAACUGCGAAUGGCUCAUUAAAUCAGUUAUCGUUUAUUUGAUAGUACCUUACUACUUGGAUAACCGUGGUAAUUCUAGAGCUAAUUCAUGCUAAAAACCCCGACUUCGGAAGGGGUGUAUUUAUUAGAUAAAAAACCAAUGCCCUUCGGGGCUCCUUGGUGAAUCAUGAUAACUUAACAAAUCGCAUGGCCUUGUGCCGGCGAUGGUUCAUUCAAAUUUCUGCCCUAUCAACUUUCGAUUGUAGGAUAGAGGCCUACAAUGGUUUCAACGGGUAACGGGGAAU
rnacentral:rRNA from 1 species